AGAUCAGCAAGUGCCCUUCUGUGAGGUGGAAGGUGCUGGUCUGCUGGCGAGGGCGCUUCCCUUUUUUCAUCUCCAACAAAUGGAAAAGCCCAGCCCAAGAUGUCGUCAUUCCAGCUCUGUAAUUUCGGGCUUGCUUAAAAGGCUUUGCCCUUCCUCCAUUUGCCUGUUUUUCCGCUUCGUGCCCACCAUUUCGGAACUUUAGUUGGCCACGCUUAAUCAGACCCUAACGUGUUUCGUUUAUCUCGAGGAAUUUGCCUGUUUUUAAAGUAAUAUAAGCAAAAGUGUGAGUCUCUUGUACGACUCGAGCCUCUGAACAUCUUGGAUUUCCGCGCAACUUUUAUCAAAAAGUCCCUGACCACUCAACCCAGUACAGUACCAACACAAACUCUAAAAAGAGUCACACAGCCAUACAUCAAGUAUAUCUCAGAAACCAAGACUAGCAACCCUAGCCAGAAGAAAUUGUUUCCUGAUUGCUUAUUUGUACCUUAUGACUAUCAUUAAGUGUUGUACCUUACGAUUCUUGAUGAACAUUUCUUUUAUGUCCAUAUGCACCAAGACAAAUUCCUUGUGUGUCCAAUCACACUUGGCCAAUUUUUAAAAAAAACUAAAUUCUAUUCUAAGAAAAAAUGAGUCAUCUACAACAUUCAGCGUAAGACUUGUAAUGUGGGACAAACAGGUAGAAGGCUGGCAGAACACAUCCAUGAACACCCGCAGUAAGAAGAUGAAAAUUAUUUAAUUUUACAACAUAGACAGAUUUAACCAUAGUUUCAAUUGGGAAAAAGUGACAAUCCUAGACCAGGCCAAGUCCAAAAAUGCCAGGGAAUUUCUAGAAACCUGACACUUGACAAAUUAGCCAUCAAUAGACACAUAGACAUUAACAACAUCUAUAGACUAUGCAAAAGAGACAAUCAACCAGCCAAAAAGGGAACAAGAAAAGAAAGACUCAUCCAUUUCUCCACCAGCAAUCAGCACCCAGAUCAACAUAGAUUAAUUCCAAGGUUAACAUUAAACCAAGAAUCAAGUAAACAAUAUCCCAAUCAAGAAACUUCCAAAGAGCUAACAGUAAACAGUCCAACCAAAGAAUCUCUAAGACUGCUUCCAGCACCACUGACAGGGCAAGCUAUCAAAAUAUAAACUUACAGCAAACCACAAUCCUUACUAACACUGAUAAUGUUGCUAGUUUGGGUAAUGAAAUGUCUGCAAGAAAACAAGCAAGCUCAGAGAGCAGCAAGGAAUCCCCACCCCAUCCUGGAUUUCAGGAAAAAGAGAUUGAAAACAACAGUCAGUCUGAACAAACCAAAUGGUAGCAAGUAUUAACCACAAAAAGCAGCAAUUAGCAAUACCCAUAGGACUUUCAUGCAUUUGACAGUGAUUCCAAUGGGACUUUCAAUACCUGCAAGAAGCAAAACAUAGGUAGUCCUCAACUUACGACCACAACUGAGCCCAAAAUGUCUGUCGCUAAGUGAAACAGAGAAGCUAGAUGCCAGUCAACCAUACAGAGAGGGGCGUGCAUAAGAGCAUCAGCGUGCCUACCGUUCCUGUCUUUA